AAAUACUACACCUAUAAUAACUUUAGAAAAUGCACAAAAAUAAGAAUAAUUAAUAAAAAAAGUUUAUUUUAAGAAAAAAUGGCUUCCAAAAAGCAAUUCUCAAGAAUAGUUGCUGCUUUGUUGUGUCUUCUGUUUCUUCUAGCUUCCACUGCCACUGCAAAAAGACAUUUGCUUCAAUCUCCUCCUGAUGUAGGUAAUCUUCCGCCAUCUUAUAAAGACAUCCCAUGGAACAGUAAAGGUCCCUACGGAGGAUGAGUUCAAUGUCACACACUUGGCCAGAGACAAAAGUUAAAGACUUUAGAGAGAAAAAAUUAUACUAAGAUUGUCGUUGUUAAGUGUAAUGAAUAACGUAGUUUUUUCUAUGUAAUAAAUAAUCCGGUUUUUAUCGGAGAUCUGAUAACGAUGAGGUUUGUUGUUUAGAGUCUAAUUUACCUUAAAUUUGAUUACAGUGUCAGCAUUAGGUUGAGGGCAGGAUUUGAAUGUUUGCUGUUGUUUAUAUUAUUAAUAACGUAACAUCUUAAGUUUAAGAA